rnacentral:lncRNA from 1 species
GUGAUUUUCAAGGUUAAUGGUCAUCGACUCAAACCUUACUAUGAGUCUUUGUGGAGCAAGAAGUGGAGGAUGUACCCCUCCAUGAACCCGCUUCCCUUGAGUAAAUUUCUUGGUACCGUCAGGUUGAGGACGUCAAAACCAAGCGCUGGUUGGGAGGCAACCCAACAAUGGAGGAUUGGAAGAGGCGUCAAUGGGUCGUCAAACCAGAUUUGCUUUCUCUAGCUUUUACUCUUUGCUUUUCUUUUCAUUGCUUUGCUUUGUGUCGGUGUGUUUUUGUGAAUGUAUCUUUGUUUCCAUACUUUACUCUCUUCAUUGCAUGCUUAGAAUUUGUUUAACAUUGUGGACAAUGUUAGAAAUAAGUGUGGGGGGAAGGAAAACAUUCUUUCCUUUUGUGUUCUUGUUACAAAAAAAAAAAAAAAGAGUCUAGUUUUUAGUUUUUCGUUGAGUCUUUAGGUGUCUUCCAACUCUAUGAUGAGCAUGAACUUUUCAAAGAUUAUUAUUAUGGCCACAAAAGGGUUGCAAGCAUGUGUCUUAUUCAUGAUUUCAAAUAAUUGUUAAUAGAUUUUAACGAUUAUUUUACUUGAGUUGUGUGCAUUGAUGGUUAGACUAAUGUGAUGAAUGAGAUUGAUUGAUUCAUGCUAAGAUAAGUUCAACUUGAUUCAUAUGACCCUUAUGUGAGCUUUUGAGCUUUAUAUAUGUGCUUUCUUUCUGAGUGGUUAUUGAAGAUAUUCUUAUUCGUUUUCUUGGCUAUAAAUUUUCGAAAACCUUAUUAUUCUUUCUUGUCGAUUGAUUUCUCACCAUAGCUUUUAAUGAACUCUAGAUGACUAGAACUCACUCUUGUGGACUUUCGAAACUUUUUAUCAUAAAACACUCUGAUUUUGGAAAGGAUAAAUAGAACUUUUUAGGAUGAACAUCAUUGCCAGAUUAUCAUGUGUCCUUAUUUGUGUGCGCGGCACACCCCUUAGUUAAACCCCUUUGAGCCUACGUUAAGCAUUUCUUUCAUCACCCAUGGAAUACAUACCUUGAGUUUAGUGUAGUGAUAUCUCUACCUUUGUCCUUUGAGCCUAGUAGAGCAUGAUGUUGUGAU